CUACCUACGGGAGGCAGCAGUAGGGAAUCUUCCACAAUGGGCGAAAGCCUGAUGGAGCAACGCCGCGUGGGUGAAGAAGGUCUUCGGAUCGUAAAACCCUGUUGUUAGAGAAGAAAGUGCGUGAGAGUAACUGUUCACGUUUCGACGGUAUCUAACCAGAAAGCCACGGCUAACUACGUGCCAGAAGCCGCGGCAAUACGUAGGUGGCAAGAGUUAUCCGGAUUUAUUGGGCGUAAAGGGAACGCAGGCGGUCUUUUAAGUCUGAGGUGAAAGCCUUCGGGUUAAACGGAGU
rnacentral:rRNA from 1 species